GAUGAACGCUGGCGGCGUGCCUAAUACAUGCAAGUCGAGCGAACGGACGAGAAGCUUGCUUCUCUGAUGUUAGCGGCGGACGGGUGAGUAACACGUGGAUAACCUACCUAUAAGACUGGGAUAACUUCGGGAAACCGGAGCUAAUACCGGAUAAUAUUUUGAACCGCAUGGUUCAAAAGUGAAAGACGGUCUUGCUGUCACUUAUAGAUGGAUCCGCGCUGCAUUAGCUAGUUGGUAAGGUAACGGCUUACCAAGGCAACGAUGCAUAGCCGACCUGAGAGGGUGAUCGGCCACACUGGAACUGAGACACGGUCCAGACUCCUACGGGAGGCAGCAGUAGGGAAUCUUCCGCAAUGGGCGAAAGCCUGACGGAGCAACGCCGCGUGAGUGAUGAAGGUCUUCGGAUCGUAAAACUAUGUUAUUAGGGAAGAACAUAUGUGUAAGUAACUGUGCACAUCUUGACGGUACCUAAUCAGAAAGCCACGGCUAACUACGU
rnacentral:rRNA from 1 species